GGCCUGUAGCUCAGGUGGUUAGAGCGCACGCCUGAUAAUCGUGAGGUCGGAAGUUCUAGUCUUCCCACGCCCAC
rnacentral:tRNA from 1 species